rnacentral:rRNA from 1 species
GACGAACGCUGGCGGCGUGCUUAACACAUGCAAGUCGAACGGAAAGGCCCUGCUUGCAGGGUACUCGAGUGGCGAACGGGUGAGUAACACGUGGGUGAUCUGCCCUGCACUUCGGGAUAAGCCUGGGAAACUGGGUCUAAUACCGGAUAGGAGCCAUUUUUAGUGUGAUGGUUGGUAAGUUUUUUCGGUGUAGGAUGAGCUCGCGGCCUAUCAGCUUGUUGGUGGGGUAAUGGCCUACCAAGGCGGCGACGGGUAGCCGGCCUGAGAGGGUGGACGGCCACAUUGGGACUGAGAUACGGCCCAGACUCCUACGGGAGGCAGCAGUGGGGAAUAUUGCACAAUGGGCGCAAGCCUGAUGCAGCGACGCCGCGUGGGGGAUGACGGCCUUCGGGUUGUAAACUCCUUUCGCUAGGGACGAAGCUUUUUGUGACGGUACCUAGAGAAGAAGCACCGGCUAACUACGUG